rnacentral:tRNA from 1 species
ACUUGAAUAAUUUAAAUUAAAAUGUUAGUUUGUGGUACUAAUUAUGUAUUAUAUGUACUUUAAGUU